AACUUUGUCAACAGAUAGGAGGCUUAGGACUAUGAGUUUCCCUAAUAUCAGAGACCUCUUGACAUCAUUUAGUCCUUCAUUGGAUUUUUUCGCUAUCAAUUCAGGAGA